UGAGGACUUGGCGCAAAGAGGAAGCCAGGUGGAGCUCCGGCCAGAAUGCCCGGCGCCUCUCUUUCUUUUUGGGUUUGCUCAACUGGCUGCGGGGAAGGAUCUUUGCCGGUGUGUUCCUUUAGUUAAACCCAUCUACUAGCUCUCUGCCCUUUCCCCCACCUUCCGGAAUGCGCCGCCUGCGGCGCGCCCUGCUGUGAGGCCGGGGCCGGCCGUAUCGCACGGAAAAUGGCAGCAUGUUCUAACAGUGGUAAGCCUGACUCUUUUAAGUUAAUUUAUAACAGAAUAGUAAAACAGAACAGAACGGAGUGCUCUACAAUGGAAAAUCUGUGCCAGCAGAAGUCCAUUCACCCAUUAACUGCUGUGGAAAUGCUCUGAGAGAUACAAUGGGCUGCUGAAGAAAAGGAAUGGAUCUCCUGUUCAUUUGCUGCUUAAGAGCCCCAGUAAUGAACAGUGCACCCUUUUUGUUCCUGGCAUUCCUCCCAGUUUAAUGGGUGCCAUUUACCAAAACACUGAUUCGUUUAUCUGAAUAUGAAAAUAUUCCAAGAAAAACGUCAAAAUUCUGCAUGUAACCUUCAGCAUACUUUGGGACUCACAUUUUUGUUAUUGGAUCCAAUAAGGGAAUUGCCAAGAUCCUACAAUGAACAGUCUCCUUGGUUAGAACAAGGUCCCGCUACCUUCUGCUGUUUCACCAAUAUGAAAGAGACUUCAUAUCAAUCAGGAAAGGCAACUGGAAUGUCUCAGGAGAGGCACAGGAAAAAUCUCCUUUAUGCUCUUCAUGUCCCUGUUUUAGACAUAAUCUCUGCCUUCAGCAUGGAAAUUUAGGCAGUGAAAUCCAGAAUGACAGUAAACAGUUAUUCUUGUGUACUUAAUUAUUUAUUUAUUUAUUUAUUUACGAUGCCUCCUUUUUUCUCAAAAAACUUGAGUGGAGUUCCAUUAAACUUAGAUAACCACUGCUUCAACCAUCAGCAAAUUAUAAGAUUAGAGAUAUACUAAUACAAAUCCUUUUCCUUUAAUCAAGUUUAUGUGUACAAACUGAAAAUCUGAAGAUCUGUGAAAACCUUUUAAUCAACAAAGAAUCUGGGGUGAAACAAUCUCAGACAACAUUUGGCAACACUUAUCUUGUUUUGUUUGUUAUCACUGUGUUGUUCAUAUACACUCAGUCUUGGCAUUCAUUGACAAAGCUGGCACUGGGGUCCAGAGCAACAGAAGGAGGUUCAAAACUGAAUUGCUAAUGUAAAAUCUGUAAUUUAC
ensembl:lncRNA